rnacentral:tRNA from 1 species
UCCCUGGUGGUCUAGUGGUUAGGAUUCAGCACUUUCUCUGCUGCUGUCUAGGUUCAAUCCCUGGUCUAGGAA